GAUGAACGCUAGCGGCAGGCUUAAUACAUGCAAGUCGAACGGGAUUCGGUGUAGCAAUACAUUGAUGAGAGUGGCGCACGGGUGCGUAACGCGUAUGCAACCUACCUUUAACAGGUGAAUAGCCCCGAGAAAUCGGGAUUAAUACACCGUAACAUUGCGGGAUGGCAUCAUUCUGCAAUUAAAGAUUUAUCGGUUAAAGAUGGGCAUGCGUGACAUUAGCUAGUUGGUGAGGUAACGGCUCACCAAGGCGACGAUGUCUAGGGGUCCUGAGAGGGUUAUCCCCCACACUGGUACUGAGACACGGACCAGACUCCUACGGGAGGCAGCAGUAAGGAAUAUUGGUCAAUGGGCGCAAGCCUGAACCAGCCAUGCCGCGUGCAGGAAGACGGCCCUAUGGGUUGUAAACUGCUUUUGUCAGGGAAUAAACCUGUCUACGAGUAGGCAGCUGAAGGUACCUGAAGAAUAAGCAUCGGCUAACUCCGUG
rnacentral:rRNA from 1 species